ACUUAGAAAUAAAAAGUUAAACUUGAAUAUUAAUAGCUAUCUUCUUUAAAAUCAAAGAAUUUGGCGGUAAUUUAGUCUCGUUAGAGGAACCUGUUUUAUAAACGAUAAAUCACGCAAAAUCUUACUUAUUUUUGUAAAUAUCAGUUUGUAUACCGUCAUUAUUAGAUAAUUUUGGAAAAAAUAAUUAUUAGGAUUAAUUUUUUAAAACUUAAAUAUAUUAGAUCAAGGUGCAGCUUAUAAAUAAGUAAAAAUGGGUUACAAUAAUAUUUAAUUAAAUGGAUGACAAGAAGAAUAAAUGUUUGAAGGUGGAUUUAAUUGUAAAGGUAGUUCAAUAAGCUAUUUUGAUAUAAGUUCUAAAUUAUGUACAUAUCGCCCGUCGCUUUCAUUUAUAGU
rnacentral:rRNA from 1 species